CAACAUUUACUCCCAAAUCGACUGUUUAACAGAUAGUGAUCCUGACAUGGCAGAUCCUCUUCUUCAAUGGUAAAUGACUGAAAAAUAUUGUCCCAUCACCGCGGAAAAUGAGCUGUCCAUUGUGACCAUAAUCCAUGGAGAAAAAAUUUGGGCUAUAAGAGCUCAGUGCAAAGCUUCCUGUAAGCAUGGGACAAAACCAAGGCACAGUUCCACGCAAGGUGGUUCAAUCGUUCAUUUUCGUCUAAUUGUCAGGGAAAAGACUUCUUCAGCAUAACUGGGGUUGCCGUGGGGUUGCUGGGACCUGUUUUCACUACAAAUAGGAUGUAUCUUUUAUAUAAAAGAAAAAAAUGAAAGCUUGGGAAAUUGUACAGGUCCCAUUCAAGAAUUUGGUGAUGAUGGUUUCAUGAUUUGGAUGGCUGGGAGUAUAGUGUAUUUGUUUAGCACUGAAUCACAUUUUCCGCUCU